CUAACAGUCCCAAAUUAUAACAGUCCGUAAUUGAUACCAGUGCUAAGUACUACUUGCAGAUCACUCACACAAGUUCUAAAAUAAGUAAUAAAAUUAAAACGAAACCAAUUAUCAUCUACAUCUAAAGUUCAGUUACAAAGUAGGGAAAUAAUAAAGAGAACAAGGAAAUCAGCUUCGAAUGCAACCUUCAUUUCAAUGGACUUCCACUCCUAUUACAUGUUCAACAAUCAUUUCUCAACCAUAGUUAGGAAAGUACCUAGAAAAUGUAAAGAUAAAUAGGGGUUAGAAAUCAACCAAUGCAGCAGGAAUCAGUAGGCGAACAGCCAAGAUGAACCCAUGUUCAACAAUUUAGAACAAGGAACUCAGCUCAAAACCCAAAACUGUAAUAUUCAACCAGUUUGAACCAAAAAAACUUUAAGAAAAACCCAAUAUCAAUUCGUACUUAAUCUCAAAUGAACCAGAAAUAUUUUAACACUUAAAAAUCUCAGCAAUCAGUAAGGGUAUCAAUGAAACAGUAAAAAUUUGAUUGGUUGUGUAUAUGCUUAAUUAUGGCGAUCCAGCCUUUUCUCUUGCGUUAAAAGGUAAGAAUAGGUCCCUUUUAAACCAAGGCAAGUAGGGCAGCCUUUAUGCUAUUUUUUUGCAGUUUGGUCCUUUUAUUAUAACUUGUGGACCAAGUUUUACUACCCAAAAAUCUAAAAACCCCAUUUGAACCCUCACACUAGAAAAUUCUGGAUACUUCUAUUCCAUUACUAAAACACUUACACUACCCAAGUUACCCUCAAUAGCCCUGUUAUUUACCCUUGAACCUUACAAGACUUCUAGAAAUCAGUUAUACCAUAGAUUCCUUAGACUAAAUUCCCUGAAUUAAAAUCAGCUGGGUCAAUUUGACCCAAAACCCAAAACCCCUGGGCGUGCAUACUCUGGCCUAAACUUACAAACUUCAAACCAAUAAUCAACGAGCCAUGAGGCUCAAGUGAAUAAGUUUUGUUUAGUCCAAACAAAAGAAAGAAAAGAAUAAACAACAGAGAAGGAAAAGAACUGAGUUAAGGAACUUAAAUGAUUUAAACAAAACAAACAACAAGGAGAACGAUUGAAAUAUUAUGCACAAUUCACAAAAGUACGAAGCAGCAUGGGAUCAAUUCAGACUUAUUGCAUGCCUAAAGCAUCUAAAUUAUAUGGUAAGAAAAGAAAUAGAAGAUUUAAGAGAAGUUCUAAGCUAACCACAGGGAUUAUAAUGGAGCAAAAAUCAUAAGUAAAAAUAGAUACAAAAAGAAAAAUAAAAUACCUCUAAUUCUGAAUCCGACUAACGAACUUCAUGGCUUCAUUUGGGGUACAAUCACCCUUAGCAAUGUGUUUUCUAACAGAAAACACAAGACUAAGGGUUAUUAAGAACCCCAAAACAAAAGAUACCCAAAAUCUGGAAACUAGGGUUCCAAACCAAAUUUCGAUUUGAAAUUCAAACUAAACGGGAACGAUUCGAGGAUGAAGGGUCGUGGAUUCAAGGUGAGGGAUGUGAGGAGAGUUCCUGGUACUAGUUUGGUGAAUUUUGGGCAAAGUUGUAUUUUGGCCGGCCGAUUCAAAUUGAAAUUCGAAGAGCUGCAGUACGAUUCGAGCUUGAACUAUUGUAGGAAUGAGAAGGGGAGACCAAGGGGGUGCAUGGGUGUGAAACUGAGGUUAUUUGGAGGUGGCGCUGCCGUGGGCGGUGGAGGCGGCGUCCACAAAAUUAAAGAUUUGACACGCUGUGGUAUGAUUCGAAGGAUGCAAAUUACAGAUUUGGAAUGAGGAAUGUGAGGGGUUUUCGUGGUGUAAAUUUGGAGUCGUUUGGUGGCCGACCGCCGCCCUGAGACGAUUUCUAGCGGCGUUUUUAGGGCGGGAUACGGUGGUGUAGGGUGGCUCAAAGGUGGCGUUACGCUACUGUUUGGACUGUACGAGGAUGAAACGUUUUGUCUCUAAGGCUAUUACACAGCCUUUGGACAUUUUUAUGUAAAAUUCAAGGUGAGCCGUUGGAUGAUGGGCGAUGGACGAUUAGGAUCGAAGGCCACCAAACAAUGUUGUUUGGUGUCCCUGGGGCUGGACCGGCUUGACAAGGUUUGGGCUGUGGUUUGGACGGGUUUAGUGGAGAAUUUGUUUGGGCCUUGUGUAAUUGAAACCAGACAGACCCAAUUCCCUCUUCUCUUCAUUUUAUUUCCUUUCCUUUUCUUUUUCAUCUUUCUUUUUAUUUUGAACUAAAAAUACACCUUAAUUAAUUUCUAACACUCAAUUAACCCUUAAGAAAACUAAUUAAACACAUAUGAAACUACUUAAUUACCAAAUAAUUGUGAAAUGCAAAGUUAGGCCCUAAAUUCCUAAUGCAAAAUAUAUUGGUAUUUUCUAUGAAUUAAAAUGCGAGCAGUUGAUAGAAGAUGCCACAAAAAAUCAAAAUUGCAAAUAGACAAGCGAAAUUGUUUUGUUUUGAUUUUAUGAGAGUAAUUCAUAUAGGGAAAAAAUCACAUGCUCACAUACACAAUAUCCCAUAACUAUCCCAAAACUCUGUGUGAUAAGUGCGUGAGCCAUUUCUAGGAAGUAAUACAAUACAACCGUCCAAAAUACAAAUUGGACAGAAAACAAAUCCAAUAAUCCGGAAGAGACUCCGCUGGCUGCAAGUGAUCUCGGGAAGUGCAGCUCACCUAAGUCUCCGUAUCAACUAUGAUGCUAUGCCCACUAGGCCACUAGGGUGCAUGUGCCUAUGCAACAAAAAUGCAUAUAAGUGUAGUAUGAGUACGAAAAUAACGUGUACCCAAUGAUUAUCCCGUCCAAUAUCGAAGAAGUAAAAACGAGAGGUCGACUUCGAUACUUACUAGUGGUCCAAUAAUGUUAUCUCAAUAACAUAGUAAAUUGGGAAUUUUUAUAAAUAUGAUUGUAAUUCAAUGAGAUGAAGCAAGUAAGCAAUUAUUUCUUUUAUAGGAGAUUUUCAAAUUCCUUUUCAUCAUUUAUACAAAUACUCUCAAGUCGGGAAGAGGCAAUAACAACUUCAAUAAGUUUCAAGGCAAGCAAUACAAGCAAGCGCAAAUCAUUUUGAGGACGUACGAUCCGAUGCAACAUAAAUGUAAAACGUGCACUGCCGAAGGUCGAGCGGCACAAACCGUAGAUGCAUCUAUUACCCCGCUCAUGAAUCAUACAUGCGACACGAUCGUUAUAAUUCCUAACCCGAUCAAAAAGUUAAAUGGUAUAUUUACCCAUGAACUCACAAACGCAAAUAUACCAUUCCCUCUUAAUUUCAUACCCAAAAUAGUGGUCAAAUUUCAAGAAAAUCUAUUUUCUAGGUUGUCCCUCAAAUCCCAAUUUUUUACCAAUUUCAUGCUCAAAUUCGUAUAUAAUCAAUGUAUUUAACUUAAGAUAGGUGGGAUAGCUUACCUUGUCAGUGAUGAUGAAAACCUCCUCUUGAAACCCUCCAAAAAUUGCCCAAGCUAAGCGCAAAAUGUAAGAAAAUGGCCAAAUCUCGAUUUUUGAAUCACGCACUGCCUCCAACCCUUUCCGCACAUGCGGUCACUUGACCACUUCUGCAAUUCCGUAGGUGCAAUUCCAGUGCUACAUCUGCGGUCCUCCUCCACCUGCCUCAGCAUGAUUCUGUGUCGCACCGACCGCCUUUGCGAUCACGCAGGUGCAGGAAAUUCCUUCGCACAUGCGGCCUCUGACUCCCUCACUUCUAAUCGCUUCUGUGGUUCCCUUCCUCGCUUCUUCGGUGAACC
rnacentral:lncRNA from 1 species